UUUGAGUGUCAUGAACUCUCAACCUCCCGGGUUUCCUGGCGGUUGGAUCUGGGCGUUGCCACCGGCUCGCCUUAAAGACCUCAGUGGAGGAAGUGUCUACCCUGCGUAAUAAGUUUCGCUCGGGACGGCACGGAGCCGCUCAUAACACCCCAUACUUUUGAUCUGACCUCAAAUCAGGUAGGACUACCCGCUGAACUUAA
rnacentral:misc_RNA from 1 species